rnacentral:rRNA from 1 species
GGACGAACGCUGGCGGCGUGCCUAACACAUGCAAGUCGAGCGGGGUCCAUCCGGUAGCAAUACCGGGGAAGACCUAGCGGCGAACGGGUGAGUAACACGUGAGAAACCUGCCCCGAAGUCUGGGAUAACCCGAGGAAACUCGAGCUAAUACCGGAUGUCUUCUUCUGAUCGCAUGGUCGGAUGAAGAAAGAUUUAUCGCUUCGGGAGGGUCUCGCGGCCUAUCAGCUAGUUGGCGGGGUAACGGCCCACCAAGGCGUCGACGGGUAGCUGGUCUGAGAGGACGAUCAGCCACACUGGGACUGAGACACGGCCCAGACUCCUACGGGAGGCAGCAGUGGGGAAUAUUGCGCAAUGGGCGUAAGCCUGACGCAGCAACGCCGCGUGCGGGAUGAAGGCCUUCGGGUUGUAAACCGCUUUCAGUGGGGACGAAUUCAGACGGUACCCACAGAAGAAGCCCCGGCCAACUACGUG